rnacentral:rRNA from 1 species
UACCCUUUAGACAGGAAUAGCCCAUGGAAACGUGGAUUAAUGCCUGAUAGUCUCUACGGAGUAAAUGGUGCCUUCUGGUAUCGCUAGAGGAUGGGCUCGCGGCCUAUCAGCUUGUUGGUGAGGUAAAGGCUCACCAAGGCGACGACGGGUAGCUGGUCUGAGAGGACGAUCAGCAACACUGGAACUGAGACACGGUCCAGACACCUACGGGUGGCAGCAGUCGAGAAUCAUUCACAAUGGAGGCAACUCUGAUGGUGCAACGCCGCGUGGAGGAUGACGGUCCUAGGAUUGUAAACUCCUGUCAUUGGGGAGUAAGACUUAAGCGUUAAGAGCGUUUAAGUUUGAUAGUA